GAUGAACGCUGGCGGCGUGCCUAAUACAUGCAAGUCGAACGAACGGACGAGAAGCUUGCUUCUCUGAUGUUAGCGGCGGACGGGUGAGUAACACGUGGAUAACCUACCUAUAAGACUGGGAUAACUUCGGGAAACCGGAGCUAAUACCGGAUAAUAUUUUGAACCGCAUGGUUCAAAAGUGAAAGACGGUCUUGCUGUCACUUAUAGAUGGAUCCGCGCUGCAUUAGCUAGUUGGUAAGGUAACGGCUUACCAAGGCAACAAUGCAUAGCCGACCUGAGAGGGUGAUCGGCCACACUGGAACUGAGACACGGUCCAGACUCCUACGGGAGGCAGCAGUAGGGAAUCUUCCGCAAUGGGCGAAAGCCUGACGGAGCAACGCCGCGUGAGUGAUGAAGGUCUUCGGACCGUAAAACUCUGUUAUUAGGGAAGAACAUAUGUGUAAGUAACUGUGCACAUCUUGACGGUACCUAAUCAGAAAGCCACGGCUAACUACGUG
rnacentral:rRNA from 1 species